rnacentral:rRNA from 1 species
UACAGAGGUCUCAAGCGUUGUUCGGAUUCACUGGGCGUAAAGGGUGCGUAGGCGGUUGGGUAAGUCUGUCGUGAAAUCUCCGAGCCUAACUCGGAAACUGCGUCGGAUACUAUUCAACUCGAGGAAUGGAGGGGAGACUGGAAUUCUCGGUGUAGCAGUGAAAUGCGUAGAUAUCGAAGAGGAACACCAGUGGCGAAGGCGAGUCUCUGGACAUUUCCUGACGCUGAGGCAACGAAA